rnacentral:rRNA from 1 species
UACGGAGGGUGCUAGCGUUGUUCGGAAUCACUGGGCGUAAAGCGCGUGUAGGCGGCCCACUAAGUCUGAUGUGAAAGCCCGGGGCUCACCCCCGGAAGUGCAUUGGAAACUGAUGGGCUAGAGUCCCGGAGAGGAGGGUGGAAUUCCUGGUGUAGCGGUGAAAUGCGUAGAUAUCAGGAGGAACACCGGUGGCGAAGGCGGCCCUCUGGACGGUGACUGACGCUGAGACGCGAAAGCGUGGGGAGCAAACAGG